UACAGAGGUCCCGAGCGUUGUUCGGAUUCACUGGGCGUAAAGGGUGCGUAGGUGGUUGUGCAAGUCUGAUGUGAAAUCUCCGGGCUUAACCCGGAAAUGGCAUUGGAAACUGCAUGGCUAGAGUGUUGGAGGGGGGACUGGAAUUCUCGGUGUAGCAGUGAAAUGCGUAGAUAUCGAGAGGAACACCAGUGGCGAAGGCGGGUCUCUGGGCCGUAACUGACGCUGAGGCACGAAAGCGUGGGGAGCAAACGGG
rnacentral:rRNA from 1 species